rnacentral:rRNA from 1 species
AUUGAACGCUGGCGGCAUGCUUUACACAUGCAAGUCGAACGGUAGAGGGGCAACCCUUGAGAGUGGCGAACGGGUGAGUAAUGCAUCGGAACGUGCCCAGUAGUGGGGGAUAGCCCGGCGAAAGCCGGAUUAAUACCGCAUGAGACCUGAGGGUGAAAGCGGGGGAUCGCAAGACCUCGCGCUAUUGGAGCGGCCGAUGUCAGAUUAGCUAGUUGGUGGGGUAAAGGCCUACCAAGCCGGCGAUCUGUAGCUGGUCUGAGAGGACGACCAGCCACACUGGGACUGAUACACGGCCCAGACUCCUACGGGAGGCAGCAGUGGGGAAUUUUGGACAAUGGGCGAAAGCCUGAUCCAGCAAUGCCGCGUGCAGGAAGUAGGCCUUCGGGUUGUAAACUGCUUUUGUACGGAGCGAAAAGGUCCUUUCUAAUACAAGGGGCUCAUGACGGUACCGUAAGAAUAAGCACCGGCUAACUACGUGCCAGCCGCCGCGGUAAAAC